rnacentral:lncRNA from 10 species
CCAUAAAGAGUUUCACUGACCAACUGAAUUAGAGCAACUUCUGUGGAUUGUUGGAAGCAAAAGCAUAAAAGCCAUAGUAUAAAGAAUGAAUGGUAGGUAUAGAGAAAAAGAUAGUAGGAGUAGAUAAGUUGUGUAUAAGCUUACAUAUGAAAAUAUGUAGUAAAAUGAGAAGAAAUCAAUGACAAAAAUGAGAUCUUGGUGGAAGAAGAAAAAACAGUGAGGAGGACAGAGAAGGAUCUACCAGAUUCAGAUUGAAAAUGUGAGAGGAGUUGCACAGUAGAAGGCAAAUUGUGAGAAUUUAAAAAAAUAAGUUAUAAGAUUUAUUUCAGAUAGUUGCAAUAUUUUUUACUUAUGAUUUCUAUUUCUCUAUUGAUAACUUUCAUAUUUCUACUCAAGAAUGUUUGCCUUUAUCUGAUGGAACAUACUUAUAAUAGAUGCUUUAAAGUCUUUGAUAAUUCUAACAUCUGGAUCAUCUCAAGAUUGGCACUUAUUGAUAAUCUUUCCCUUUGGAAUUUGUCACAAUUUUUGAGUACUUUGUAAAUUGAAUACUUUUGUAUUGCAACCUAGACAUUUUAAAUAUGUUGUUUACAUUCUAGGUUCUAUUAAAAUCCUCAGGAAAAUAUACUUUUUUUUUUUUUUUUUUGGUGGUUGUGGUGGUUUGCUUGGCAUUCACCAAGUUAGGUUCAGAUUGCAAUUUCUGUCUCACUUUAUGGAAAUGAUUGUUCCAAUGUCAGUUCAAUUAGCGAAGCCUUUGAUAUGCCAUUUGGGGUCCACUGUGAGCAUGUACCACUCAGAGGUUAGUGUAAGACCUAGGUGAUAUUUUAAAAUUGAGGUUCCACUAUCAAAACUUUUGCUGUGCACUUUUGGAUCUAUCCUGCACAAGUACACUUCGAGAGUAAACCCAGAAGCUAAACUUGUUUAUUCGCAGAAUUAGGGGACUCCUUUCUCCAAAUCUCUCAUCUCCAGGAUUUCCCCCACACUUUUCAGUUGGAAGGGACCUCUUUCCCUGAUCUUCAGGCCAAAAAUAUGGAAUUUAACUUGGGGCUAAAUUCCUUGCUGCCUUUGCAUACUGAAUAACUCCAAUGAUUGUGGCCAUCUCAGGCAAGAACAAAGACAGAAAAUGGGACUCAUCCUAAUACUCUCCUGAUUGAAGAGUCCCCUAUAACCUAUUCAUCAAGCCAGAAGGAUAUGGUUUCUAUUGGAGUGUAAGCUUUAUAGCACUGCCCACAAUAUGGACACCACUGGAAGUAUCAUUUCCACUCUUAUCAAGCCAUGAGAGAAAAAAAUAAAGGAUGAUUCCCCUCAUGUUCUCUUGCUCAUAGAGGCCUAUAUCUUAGCCUUCUAGAGAUAAAGACAGAAUUAUCUCAACAUGUUAGAUGCCCAUAGUGAUGUUGUGUCAGGUUCACUGGAAGCCUGUCUUGGCUCAAGUCCAUGAUAGAAAAAAGAGAAAAUAAAAGGGAAAUUAACUUACAUAUAAAUCAUUUUUAAAUGCCUUGACAUCCUUCCCCAAUGUACCUGCUUUUGUUUAUUUUUCAGAGUCCUCAAGUAGUUGCUUUUUGUACUUUGAAUAAAGACUUUAGUCAUAGUAGGAGAGAUAGACUGUAAUGGACUUACUUCACGAUGGCUGCACCAGAGGUUCCAAGAACGAUGGCUUUCAACUUCAACCCACAUCUAAAACACACCACUGUAGCCACACCCUACACCCUGUGGUUAUCCAGUUGUGAGUCCUAUUGGAGAGAUGAGGUACGUCCACUGGGGAAAACCUAAGGAUGAGAGGUACAGAGGUUAGAUGAAAACAUGAAGAUACUAUCCUCAAGGUUAUUCAGAGAGUCAUAGAGAAAAGAAGAAAGCGAUAGUUAAUAAGGAGACUUAGGUUCCUUAGAAGGAAAUUAACCAGCCAUCAAACUGAUGAUGUUUAGAUUGGAAACACAAAUGGAUGAUGAGUUAACCAACAGAACUAAAUCAGAUCAGGAGUAUAAAACUGAGGAGUGAGGAGGGAAGCCUGACAAGUGAGGAGGUACAAAAUGGCCACCCAUGGGCAUCUAGUUGAUCAUUAUUUCUACAUAAGCUACUGUACAACUCACAGAGUGAGGAUGGAUGCUUACAAAUAACAGACUGGAAUGAGCAACUCAGAAUUGCUGCACCUCUAAAAUCAAAUCACAAUACUCCAUGCUCUGCCUAUAACCUACUAUCCUUUGCUAUUAUUGUGUUUGCUAUUCAUCUGCAUCAAUUCUUUUAAUUCUAUGAAUUUUGUUCCCAUCAAUUGUUCCUAAUCGAUCAGCCCAUUCUGGUUUAACUUUUGUUUUGUUCCCUUCCUGAACACUGGUCUUUCAUUUCAAUCUUUCUUCCUGGGCACCCACAAAUCUCUCAAUCCAUUUUCUUCCUUAUGUCUGUCCUUAAAACAACUUCCCUCCACCUUCAGAUUAAUCUAAUCCUCUGACCUCUACUCUCCUACUCAAACUAUUAAACACAGCUGAAAUGCCUUCUAUUUUAGGCUGUUACUCACAUCUUCCAUCCCAGCAGCUUAUUCAUACCACCAUCUUCCGUCACCAGGAUCACCACCACUAGCCUUAUACACUUGACUAUCACUCAUACCUAUUAGAAUCAAUUCUCUACACAUCAGACAAACUGAGCUUUAUAAAACACAAAUCAGUUUGCAUUACUUCUUUGCUAUAAACAUUCAAAGACUUGUCAUUUCCAUUAGGACUCUGGCCUACACAGGCCCCCAUGAUCUGACCCUGCCUGCCUCUUCCACCUUUGCCAUAACAAUCUCCUCCUCUUUCCUGGCCUUCUUGCCAUUUCUUAAAAAUGACAUGCUUAUUCCUAUUUCAGGCUGUUACACUUGCUCUUGUCUGCCCAGAAUUCCACACACCUUCUCCAUCUUACGCAGGUCAAGCUCAAAUGUCACCUGUUUGUCUCUGUAAAAAAUGGAAUCCCUCCUUCAUUAUUAUCUUUGCCUUUAUUCUGCUUUUUUUUUCCCCUAGUGCUUAUCACUCUCUGAAACUAUGUUAUUUGUUUGCUUAUUUCUUUGCUGUAGCCCACACCAGAUCAGGAACUCCUCAAAAGCAAGACCUUAAAACUAUCUUAUUUGGCUACCAUAUCCAUAACUUAUAAAACAGUACUCAGCAUACAAUAGACACCAGGUAAAUAGUUGUUGGAUCUGUUGAAUUAUCACCAUGAAAGCUAAAAUCCUCUAGGAUAAUGGUGGGAGUCAGGGUGAGAGUGAGGUGUCAAUGUCACCUGAUGAGUUGAAGAAAAGAUAAUUUUACUAUUUGAGAGAAAGGACUGAAAUAUGAUAUGCUAAGGAGUUGUUGCUGAAUUUAAAUUUUUUUAGGGAAUCUAUAUUAAAAUAUGCUGUAUAUUUGAUAUUAGACCUAGAGGUCAGUGUAACCCAUUCACAGGGUUUGCAAGUAUCAUUUGUGUCAUCCUCAGUUUUGCAAAUAAAAUGUUGCACUUUUAAAAGAUAAAUGUAAGUAGCUUAAGCAGAAGUAGUUAGGUAUAUUUUUUCACUUUUUCUUUUUGGUCCAGAUCUGGCAUGGUUCCUAGACAUGUGAAAUUAGUGAUGUGGAAAAAUGUAAAUAUAUAGCUAAUGCAAUAAGCUUCACAAAAAUAUUUUGUUCUAUACAGUGUUCAGCAUUUUAACCAGCUCCAUGGAUUUCAGUAGGAAGUCUCAAAAAUGUAUCAUGCCUUUUCUGUAUUUUAUAGGAAGAAUAUCAUGAAUUUAGCUGGUAUUAGAAAGUAGAACUUGGAAAAUAGAGUGUAACUGGAAAAUGAAGGGACUUAACUGAGACAAACAGCCUCUUCUUAUCCAUUUUUAAAAUGUUCAGAUUUAACUAGAUGACCAUGACCAUGAAGAACUUCUCAAGCUCUUUGGUUCUACAGGUGUAUGACAGUUUCCUGGAGGGGGUCAUAUGGAUCUACUACUACCUUCCCACUGACAUUAGGCAGAUGUUCAUUAGAUUGGUUUGAUAGAUGUAAUGGUUAAUAUUGAGUGUCAACUUGAUUGGAUUGAAGGAUGCAAAGUAUUGUUCCUGGGUGCGUCUGUGAGGGUGUUGCCAAAGGAGAUUAACAUUUGAAUCAUUGGACUGGGAGAGGCAGACCCACCCUCAAUCUGGGUGGGCACAAUCUAAUCAGCUGCCAGCAUGGCCAGCAUAAAAGCAGGCAGAAGAAUGUGGAAGGAGUAGACUGGCUCAGUCUCCUGGCCUACAUCUUUCUCCCACGCUGCAUGCUUCCUGCCCUCGAACAUUGGACUCCAAGUUCUUCAGUUUUGGGACUCUUGAACCUUUGACCACAGACUGAAGGCUACACUGUUGACUUCCCUACUUUUGAGCUUUUAGGACUCGGACUGGCUUCCUUGUUCCUCAGCUUGCAGACGGCCUAUUGUGGGACCUCACUUUGUGAUCAUGUGAGUCAAUACUCCUUAAUAAACUCUCCUUUAAAUAUACAUCUAUCUUGUUAGUUCUGUCCCUCUAGAGAACCUUGACUAAUACGAUAGGGAAGCCAUAGUGACUGUCACUAAUAUUCUAAUAAAAGAAUUAUUAUCUAUGCCAACUCUGGAGAGCCACAGGUAAGCUAUACAUAGAUCAAAGUGUAAACCAGGGGUUCUCUGAGUGUGAUUCCUGGACCAGCAGUAUGUGGUGACAUUUGAAAUGCAAAUUCUUGGGCCCCACCUCAGACCACUGAAUUAGAAACUCCAGAGGUGGAGCUCAGCAGUUUGUUUUAACUAGUUCUCCAGGUGAUGCUGAGGCACAUCACAGUUGGAAAUGGUGAGGUAAGUAAGGAAUUUCAGCAGUUCAACUGCUGAAAUGUAGAUCUUAACAAAGUGCUAAAUGAAUAGAGGAAAAAGGGAUAAUUAUCUGAGACAUUUGGAUCUUGUUUCACGAAUAGGAGUUCAGAUGAAGUUAGGGAGGUCUUUUGAAGUAUAGGAAACAAGACAUGCAAAGACUGGGGAGGUUAGGAAGACCAGACCUAUUUCAAGAUAUACAAUGGCCUAGUGGGGCUUGAGGUAGCAGGGUGCAUUCUUUUUCUUAGAUAUGCUUCCUCCUCUCUGCUCCAUGGUGCCACACAUGAUGCUGGUGAUAAAGGAGACUGAGCGAGGGUAAAGAUUCACAGUGCCAGCAAGGGCUUGGACAUUGGCAGCCUAUGGAUCAAAUUGUGCUUGCAGAUGGGCUGUAUUUGGUAUUUUAUUGUACAAACACUAUGUAUUUGGCAUAGCAUUAUACAAAUAAAUGUGAACUAACAUUUAAUAAUCAGUUUGGAUGUAUAUAUGUGUAUAUAUAUUAUGUAUAAAUAACAUAUAUGCUAACACAAAAAUAUAUGUGCUAUAUUUAUAUUCUAUACAAAUAACAUAUAAAUAUAUGUUAACAUAUAAAAAUAUAUG